UUCAAUUGCCGGCGACCGGCGCACGGGUGAGUAACGCGUGUCCAACCUUCCGUACACUCAGGGAUAGCCUUUCGAAAGAAAGAUUAAUACCUGAUGGUAUGAUGAGAUUGCAUGAUAGCAUCAUUAAAGAUUUAUCGGUGUACGAUGGGGAUGCGUUCCAUUAGGUAGUAGGCGGGGUAACGGCCCACCUAGCCAACGAUGGAUAGGGGUUCUGAGAGGAAGGUCCCCCACAUUGGAACUGAGACACGGUCCAAACUCCUACGGGAGGCAGCAGUGAGGAAUAUUGGUCAAUGGACGAGAGUCUGAACCAGCCAAGUAGCGUGAAGGAUGAAGGUCCUACGGAUUGUAAACUUCUUUUAUAAGGGAAUAAACCCUCCCACGUGUGGGAGCUUGUAUGUACCUUAUGAAUAAGCAUCGGCUAACUCCGUGCCAGCAGCCGCGGUAAUACGGAGGAUGCGAGCGUUAUCCGGAUUUAUUGGGUUUAAAGGGAGCGCAGACGGGUCGUUAAGUCAGCUGUGAAAGUUUGGGGCUCAACCUUAAAAUUGCAGUUGAUACUGGCGUCCUUGAGUGCGGUUGAGGUGUGCGGAAUUCGUGGUGUAGCGGUGAAAUGCUUAGAUAUCACGAAGAACUCCGAUUGC
rnacentral:rRNA from 1 species